rnacentral:lncRNA from 1 species
GGCAACCCUCCUGGGAUAUUCUUCUGCAGUGUGGAAGCUUUGUUCUUUCGCUCUUUGCAAUAAAUCUUGCUACUGCUCACUCUUUGGGUCCACGCUUUUUUUAUGAGCUGUAACACUCACCGCCAAGGUCUGCAGCUUUACUUCUGAGCCAGCGAAACCACGAACCCACCAGAAAGAAGAAACUCCUAACACAUCCGGCCAUCAGAAGGAACAAACUCCAGACGCGCCACCUUAAGAGCUGUAAUGUAACACUCACCGCGAGGGUCCGCGGCUUCAUUGUUGAAGUCAGUGAGACCGAGAACCCACCAAUUCCGGACACACUGGGAGCAAGGGGCCACCAGGUUGCUUAAGGAGGGGUGAACUGACUCAGGUCAAAAACGGAGCAGUUCAAAACUCCCGUUCUGAUCAGUAGUGGAACCGCACCUGUGAGUAAUCACCGUACUGCAGAAUGGGCAACAUAGUGAGACCCCCAUGUCUAAAAAUAAUAAUUAAAAAUUUAAAAAGAAAAGGAUUUCCUGUGGAGGAUUUUCAAAAUACACUGGCCUAGGUUUCUGUCCCAGAGAUUUGGAUCUGGGCCAGGGCCCAGGUGUGUAUUUGAGGGGUAAUAAAUGAAAUUAAUACAUGUACAGUGCUUAGAAGGGCUCACAUUAUCAUGCAAAAAAUGUUAGCUCUGUUAUUCAUUGUUAUCCAAAAAGUCUAUUGAGUAUCUACUCUGUGCAGCACCGGAAAUACACUGAUAAGCCCACAUCUCUGCUCUUUCAGAGCUUACAACGUGCAGAGGAAAAAACAAACAACAAAAAAUAAAAAAAAAAAAUUGAAACUAGCAAAUUCAAAGAGUGCUAUAUCCAGUCUGCCCUCAAACCCCUGCCUUUUCUGCCUCCUAGGACUAUCCUCUUCUCUCCUCCCACUGCCACUGUCCUGGUCCAGGCCGCCAUCACCUCUCACCAGGAUGGCUCCAACAGCUCCCAAUUUUCUCUGCCUGCAGCCUUGCAGCUUUCCUCACAAUGCAACCAGAGGGAUUGUCUAAAAGGCGCAUCUUCCUCCUCUCCUGCCAGUUUCCAAAUCUCUUCUCCAAGUGUGCUGCCGGCAAAUUAAACAAGACAACCAACCCAGGCUGGAGUAGAUCUUGCGGGUUUCUUUCAUCAACAUCACACCUCAUUAGGUUGAUUUGUGUGUUUCCAGAGUUGCCUGUGCUGGGUGAGUGUGUGUAUUUUGAACACCAUCUAGUGGACAAUAGGGCAAUUUAUUUCCAGGCUAUGGAAUGAACUCCCCAAGCCCUAGUCAAUCUUUCGAACUUCAAAGAUUUAAUAAGUAGCCAGAUUUUAAAAGCAAAGAUUGUUCUUGACCCCAUAACAAGAUCAGAGUCAAAGGCAACUUGCAGCCUGCUUCAGAAGCUCCACUCUGCCAAUAGGCCAGAGGGAAAGGAGGAGUAGGGUGGUGCCAAAUAGAGGUAACUUUGGCCGUUAAGAUCCUUUUGUCCUCACCCCAGAUGCUGGUUCCUUGCUCUCCCUGUAGCUUCAGAUUCUCAGCUGGUUUCCCAUCCCUUUUCCUAAAAGGACAACAGCCCUGCCUAGCAGAUUUCAAAUUUCAGUCUACCAAGCACUGCUAUUUCGCUCUCUCUCUCUCUUUUGUCUUUUUUUAAAGAGACGGAGUCUCACUCUGUCACCCAGGCUGGAGUGCAGUGGCACAAUCACAAUUCAUUGCAGCCCUGAGCUCAAGCCAUCCUCCCACCUCAACCUCUGGGACUACAGGCCCAUGCCACCAUGACUACCUAACUUUUUAAAAUUUUUUGUAGAAUGGUUGGGUGUGGUAGCCCACAUCUGUAAUCUCAGCACUUUGGGAGGGCAAGC